rnacentral:rRNA from 1 species
UUGGACCUGAUAUCAGCAAGAUUACCC